rnacentral:rRNA from 1 species
GACGAACGCUGGCGGCGUGCUUAACACAUGCAAGUCGAACGGAAAGGCCCUGCUUUUGUGGGGUGCUCGAGUGGCGAACGGGUGAGUAACACGUGAGUAACCUGCCCUUGACUUUGGGAUAACUUCAGGAAACUGGGGCUAAUACCGGAUAGGAGCUCCUGCUGCAUGGUGGGGGUUGGAAAGUUUCGGCGGUUGGGGAUGGACUCGCGGCUUAUCAGCUUGUUGGUGGGGUAGUGGCUUACCAAGGCUUUGACGGGUAGCCGGCCUGAGAGGGUGACCGGCCAAAGUGGGACUGGGGUACGGCCCAGACUCCUACGGGGGGCAGGAAGGGGGAAUAUUGCACAAUGGGCGGAAGCCUGAAGCAGCAACGCCGCGUGCGGGAUGACGGCCUUCGGGUUGUAAACCGCUUUCGCCUGUGACGAAGCGUGAGUGACGGUAAUGGGUAAAGAAGCACCGGCUAACUACGUG